rnacentral:misc_RNA from 1 species
GAUGAAGAACGCAGCGAAAUGCGAUACGUAGUGUGAAUUGCAGAAUUCAGUGAAUCAUCGAAUCUUUGAACGCAUCUUGCGCUCCUUGGUAUUCCUUGGAGCAUGCCUGUUUGAGUAUCAUGAGCAAAUCUCAAAGUCAAUUCCUUUUGUUAAUUCAAUUGGUUUUGCUUUGGACUUGGAGGUCUUGCAGAUUUCACAGUCUGCUCCUCUUAAAUGCAUUAGCUGGAUCUCAGUAAUUAUGCUUGGUUCCACUCGGCGUGAUAAGUAUCACUCGCUGAGGACACUGUUAAAAAGGUGGCCAGGAAAAUACUGAUUGAACCGCUUCUAACGGUCUAUUAAGUUAGACAAUUACCCUUAAGUUUGAUCUCAAAUCAGGUAGGACUACCCGCUGAACUUAAGCAUAUCAAUAAGCGGAGGA